CCUACGGGUGGCAGCAGUGAGGAAUAUUGGUCAAUGUGCGCUAGCCUGAACCAGCCAAGUAGCGUGAAGGAUGACUGCCCUAUGGGUUGUAAACUUCUUUUAUAUGGGAAUAAAGUGCAGUAUGUAUACUGCUUUUCAUGUACCUUAUGACUAAGGAUCUUCUAACUCCGUGCCAGCCGCCGCGGUAAUACGGAGGAUCCGAGCUUUCUCCGGAUUUAUUGGGUUUAAAGGGAGCGUAGGCGGGUUGUUACGUCAGUGGUGAAAGUUUGCGGCUCAACCGUAAAAUUGCAGUUGAUACUGGCAUCAGUGAGGAAAGUAGAGGUAGGCGGAAUGCGUGGUGUAGCGGUGAAAUGCUUAGAUAUCACGAAGAACUCCGAUUGCGAAGGCAGCCUGCUGGACUGUAACUGACGCUGAUGCUCGAAAGUGUGGGUAUCAAACAGGAUUAGAUACCCGGGUAGUC
rnacentral:rRNA from 1 species